UGGGGAAUUUUGGACAAUGGACGCAAGUCUGAUCCAGCCAUGCCGCGUGCGGGAAGAAGGCCUUCGGGUUGUAAACCGCUUUUGUCAGGGAAGAAACGCUCUGGGCUAAUACCCUGGGGUAAUGACGGUACCUGAAGAAUAAGCACCGGCUAACUACGUGCCAGCAGCCGCGGUAAUACGUAGGGUGCAAGCGUUAAUCGGAAUUACUGGGCGUAAAGCGUGCGCAGGCGGUUAUGCAAGUCAGAGGUGAAAUCCCCGGGCUCAACCUGGGAACUGCCUUUGUGACUGCAUAACUAGAGUACGGCAGAGGGAGGUGGAAUUCCGCGUGCAGCAGUGAAAUGCGUAGAGAUGCGGAGGAACACCGAUGGCGAAGGCAGCCUCCUGGGCCAGUACUGACGCUCAUGCACGAAAGCGUGGGGAGCAAACA
rnacentral:rRNA from 1 species